rnacentral:rRNA from 1 species
AGUGAUGAAGGCCUUAGGGUUGUAAAACUCUUUCGGUGGGGACGUAAUGACGGUACCCGCAGAAGAAGCUCCGGGCUAACUUCGUGCCAGCAGCCGCGGUAAUACGAAGGGGGCUAGCGUUGUUCGGAAUUACUGGGCGUAAAGCGGUGCGCAGGCGGCUUUUCAAGUCAGUGGUGAAAGCCCGGAGCUCAACUCCGGAACUGCCAUUGAAACUGUUUAGCUAGAGUACGAGAGAGGUGAGUGGAAUUCCCAGUGUAGAGGUGAAAUUCGUAGAUAUUGGGAAGAACACCGGUGGCGAAGGCGGCUCACUGGCUCGUAACUGACGCUCAUGCACGACAGCGUGGGGAUCGAACAGGAUUAGAUACCCUGGUAGUCCACGCCGUAAACUAUGAACGCUAGCCGUUAGGCAGCUUGCUGCUUAGUGGCGCAGCCAACGCAUUAAGCGUUCCGCCUGGGGAGUACGGCCGCAAGGUUGAAACUCAAAGGAAUUGACGGGGGCCCGCACAAGCGGUGGAGCAUGUGGUUUAAUUCGACGCAACGCGCAGAGCCUUACCAGGGUUUGACAUCCUGUGCUCACUC